CCUGAUGGCUCAGUCAGUAAAGAAUCUACCUGCAAUGUAGGAGAUCCAGGUUUGAGUCCUGGGUCAGGA
rnacentral:tRNA from 1 species